CAGCUCAGUUUUCAUCUUUCAGUGAUUUGUUUGCUAUAAAUUUUUCAUAUUUGUUUUGAUCUAGGUUUUCAGAGAAAUUAAAGUUUUUGGAAUUGAAUUUAAAUUAAUUGACAUUGAAUACUGCAUUACCAUAUCAGCAUCAAGAUACAGAUUUCCAUCACUGUAGAAUGUCUGUUGACCAGUGCUGCUCUAGAGCACAGCUCUAUCAGAAAAAUGAGAAAAUGGAAAGAUGAAGAAGCUAAUAAUUUACUCAAGAUCAAACUGCCAAGAAGUGACCAAACUGCCUUGGAUUCAGAUCCAAAUCGGCUGGACUUCCCCACUUACGCUUAUGACAGCUGAGCCACACCACCUUCCCAAGUUCAUCCAGUGCUCUCUCUACUCUGUCAAACUGGCUUCCCUGAAAUAAAUUGUAUUUCUUAUCCA